rnacentral:piRNA from 1 species
UCAAACUCCAAUGCUAUAAAGGCCUUUAA